AACCUUAUGGACCUGCGGGCGUAUACCUGCGGAAGGAUCAUUAACCUUUCAAACCAGGGUGCGGCGCGGCCCCCGAGGAGCGGAAACAAUCCUUGGGAGGUAUGCGGGGGCUUCGAGCCCCCCAUUUACGCACGCACGACUGCCAUCCUUACUUUACGAGCACCUUCUGUUCUCCCUCGGCGGGGCAACCUGCCGUUGGAACCGAAUAAACUCUUUUUGCAUCUAGCAUUACCUGUUCCG
rnacentral:misc_RNA from 1 species